rnacentral:rRNA from 1 species
UACAGAGGGUGCGAGCGUUGUUCGGAAUUAUUGGGCGUAAAGGGCGCGUAGGCGGUGCGGUAAGUCACCUGUGAAAUCUCCUGGCUCAACUGGGAGCUUGCAGGCGAAACUGCCGUGCUGGAGUGUGGGAGAGGUGCGUGGAAUUCCUGGUGUAGCGGUGAUAUGCGUAGAUAUCGGGAGGAACACCUGUGGCGAAGGCGGCUUUCUGGGCCCUACCUGACGCUGAGGAGCGAAAGCGUGGGUAGCGAACAGG